GUUUAUCAAAAACAUGUCUUUUAGAAUUUAAUUUAAAGUUUGACCUGCCCACUGAAUNNNUUUAAAUGGCCGCAGUAUCUUAACUGUGCAAAGGUAGCAUAAUCAUUAGUCUUUUAAUUGAAGGCUGGAAUGAAUGGUUGGAUGAAAUAUUAACUGUUUCAUAGAAAUUUUUAAUAGAAUUUUAUUUUUUAGUUAAAAAGCUAAAAUUUUAUUAAAAGACGAGAAGACCCUAUAAAUCUUCAUAUUUUAUUGGGGUGAUAUUAAAAUUUUAUUAACUUUUAAUUUAUAAUUUACAUAAAUUAAUGAAUUAUUGAUCCGUUAUUUACGAUUAGAAAAUUAAGUUACUUUAGGGAUAACAGCGUAAUUUUUUUAGAGAGUUCAUAUUGAUAAAAAAGAUUGCGACCUCGAUGU
rnacentral:rRNA from 1 species